AAGACGAACCGAGCGAACGUUGUUCGGAAUCACUGGGCUUAAAGGGCGCGUAGGCGGGCUGUCAAGUCUGGGGUGAAAUCCCACGGCUCAACCGUGGAACUGCCUUAGAUACUGACGGCCUCGAGGGAGGUAGGGGCGUGCGGAACUGUAGGUGGAGCGGUGAAAUGCGUUGAUAUCUACAGGAACUCCGGUGGCGAAAGCGGCGCGCUGGACCUCUUCUGACGCUGAGGCGCGAAAGCUAGGGGAGCAAACGGGA
rnacentral:rRNA from 1 species